rnacentral:rRNA from 1 species
GAUGAACGCUGGCGGCGUGCCUAACACAUGCAAGUCGAGCGAACGGACGAGAAGCUUGCUUCUCUGAUGUUAGCGGCGGACGGGUGAGUAACAUGUGGAUAACCUACCUAUAAGACUGGGAUCACUUCGGGACUCCGUAGCUAAUACCGGAUAAUAUUUUGAACCGCAUGGUUCAAAAGUGAAAGACGGUCUUGCUGUCACUUAUCGAUGGAUCCGCGCUGCAUUAGCUAGUUGUUAAGGUAACGGCUUACCAAGGCAACGCUGCAUAGCCGACCUGAGAGAGUGGUAGGCCACACGGGAACUGGGACAGCGUCCAGAGUCCUAAGGUAGGCAGCAGAAGGGUACCGUACGCAGUGGGCGAAAGCCUGGCGGAGCAACGGGGCGUGAGUGAUGAAGGUCUUCGGAUCGGAAAAAUCUGCUAUUAGGGAAGAACAGAUGUGGAAGUAACUGAACACAUAUUGACGGUACCGGAUCAGAAAGCCACGGCUAACUACGUG